rnacentral:rRNA from 7 species
GUCUUGGUGACUUGAGCGCGGUGGAACCACCUGAUUCCAUUCCGAACUCAGAAGUUAAACGCCGUAGCGCUGACGAUAGUUACCGGGCAACUGGUCGCGAAAAUAAGUCGUCGCCAAGACU